GACGAACGCUGGCGGCGUGCCUAAUACAUGCAAGUAGGACGCAGUUGCGAAGGGGUGAGUAACGCGUAGGUAACUACAUAUUAGAGGGGGAUAACUAUUGGAAACGCUAGCUAAUACCGCAUAGUAGUAGAUGGACCUGCGUUGUAUUAGCUAGUAGGUAGGGUAAUGGCCAACCUAGGGAACGAUACAUAGCCGACCUGGGAAGGUGGUCUGGCCCAAUGGGAAUGGGACACGGGCCCAAAUCCCUCGGGAGGCAGGCGUAGGGAAUCUUCGGCAAUGGGGGGAACGCUGACCGAGCAACGCCGCGUGGUUGGAGGAAGUUUUCGGAUCGUAAAGCCCUGUUGUUAAGGAAGCGGUACUUAACCAGAAAGGGACGGCUAACUACGUGCCAGCAGCCGCGGUAAUAC
rnacentral:rRNA from 1 species